rnacentral:piRNA from 1 species
UUGAAAAACGAUGAAAAUUGUAGGCGGC